GAAAACGUCCGGGCUCCUUCGAGCAGAGGCUGGGCGAGGCGGAGGGCAGCCAGGCGCGGGGGAGAGUGGAGAGGCCGGCGGCGGCUGUGGGGAGGCUCGCCGGGACGGCAGAAAAGUGGCGGCGCCAGUGUGUGAAGAGGCGGCCAGCCCGCACGCGAGGUCGGUCAGGAGGAGGCCUUCUGGAGAGAGCUGGGAGGAGAGCGAGCGGCGCCGUGGUGAUCUCGCCGGCGAGCGACGGGAGGAGGACGGCGAGCUGAGCCGAAGGAGGGCGAGGCUUCCACGUGCAGGAGGCUCCCCAGCGGAUCCGGGAGACGGCGCGAGGCAUCUCCGACAGCGUGGGCCGGGCGGCCGGGGCGCCGUGCUUCGUCAGAUCCGUGUUUCAGUCGUGCAUUCAGUUUGUCCCUCGACGUCGACGGCUCUAUGAUCAGCCGUGCUCUCUUCCACGGUUGUACAUGGCCCAGCUGAACUCAACCAGAUUCUUCUUGUCCUGGACGCUCGCCACCUCGUGGUCAUGACCAGCUUCAGCUAGCAGCAGCACGCCUUAGCUCAUUUCUAUCACACCUGUACCGCUGACCAGCUGUCUGACAAUUGCCGCCUAACCUACACCAGCACCAAAGACGCACCCCCGCAUAGAGUGGGCAUGGAUGUACAAAUCAGCAAGGUACUUUUGCGUUAUUCUAGACAAAGUAGCCAAUACUUAUCUGGUGUAUAUGGAUUUUUGGAAUUUGAUAAGCCAGAAGAUACCACGAUCCUUUGUCCAUGUAAAGUAUGUGUGCACACUUCUGUACUGUCAAAGGAUGAUGUCCAUGAUCAUUUGAUCUGUAAUGGAAUUUUUCAGAGUUAUGACAAAAAUAUUUUCAUGGCGAAUCUUCAGAUGAGCACAAUAAUGAUCAGCAACCACAGCUUCACAAUGAAUAAAUGCUUGCUGGCAUGCGUGGAUGGAUUAAGGAUGCCUUGAGGAUAUGUAUGAUGAUGUGUCAACGAGUGAGAGUACAGAUCCACCAAUUCAACAUGGACCAAAAUUAGAAGUCAAACAAUCUUAUAGAUUGAUCAAUGAUUCGAAGAAGCCUUUAUGGCCGGGAUCUGGAUUAUCACAACUAUCAUUACUUGUGAUUUUGUUUAAUACAAAAUCCAUGAACAAAUGGUCUGAUAAGUCAUUUGGAGAUCUAAUUGACACUCUACACAUGGCCAUUCCAAACGGAAAUGAGCUGCUCCAGAAUUUCUACGAGGCUAAGAAGACUUUUCAAAAUUCGGCCUAGAUUACUGCAUAUCAGUGCUGCCUUCCACAUGUUUGACGGAAUGCACAACCACAUUGCUCACACAAAAUUCGGCCAUUAGGCAAACUGAGAGUUGCUUACAAGUCUCUUGCAUAUAUGAUGCUAAAGGAAUUUCUUCCCACUUUGAACAUUCAGCAUUGCAGUCUAUGCUCUCAUGAAACUAUUAGUGAGUUUUCUCAGAAUCUAUGCUUCCUCAAUUUUUUUACUUCUGUAGUGUCUUCUAAUUUUUGUACUGGUCAAUUUUAAUAGCUCUCAUACUUUCAUUGUAAAUUAUAAUAAGAGGUUGUAUAGAAAUGAAUGAACAGUACAAUUAACAGCUCUCAUAUUUUUGUACUGGUCAAUUUAAUAGCUCUCAUAUUUUUGUACUGGUCAAUUUUAAUAGCUCUCAUAUAGAUAAUUUUUGUAUACUUAUACAAUGAAUGAACAAUACAAUUACUUUCACAGUGAUGUUCAUUGCAUAGAAAUUCUAGCUUUUCUGUGUUAUUUCUUAAGCUGAAUUGUUUAUUUAUGCAAAGUUGUGCUCAUUCAUUGCUAUAAUUGUGUGUGAUUUCCUAGGGUGGUGAGGCGAACCUAAAAUGUGCAACAUCUGAUCUUGCUUGCCGAGCUGCUAUUCCUGAUAUACAGCCCUUAAACACAAGCAUGUCUUUAUUUAUUUGUUUAUCUUGCUUUGCUUCAAUGGAAGAAAUAAAAAUAAGAAACAGUUUUUGUGGUGGAUCUCUAGGAAAAUUUGGAAUGGUAUUUGAUCCGAGUACAGCAACUAUGAAAACAAUUGAUCUUAGAUUUGAGUUUCUUUUAAUCUUUAAAUGAUGUACGGGGCCAACAAAUUCAGCUAUUUGGUUUUGUAGGUUUGAUAUUUCUGAAACUUGUUAGGAUUUAGGGUGCAUAUCAGAAGUAGAUGUACAUCACGCUUAAUGGUGAGACGAGAACCUGAUCCGGUCACAUAUUUCUUUUGUUUCUCUGCCAUGUUCAAAUAUAGCAAACAUGUUUGGUGUUUGUUUAAAUGUGAGCUUCAGAGGUAGCUUAAUCGAUACUAAAUGUUUGGUACCAGAGUUUUUUCGCAGUAAUCAGAUGUUUAUUUAACUGAAGGCCUUCCUAUCUUAAUACAUGUAUCACUUAAUGUUAACGCUUCGGCACUACUCGCGACUUGUGACGACACAGUGUGUUCAUUGUCUGAUGUGCUGCAGGACCAUUGAACAGUAUUCAGAGCAUACACCUAUUCGUGCCUCAGUAUGGUGGACUUAAAUGAUGUUUCCCAGAAUAGUUGGCAGUUUACAUCGACAUGGCAGGCAGGGAUGUGGAGUGACAAAAUAUGAUAUUUGGAAGAGCUGGUUCGGGAGCUGAUGUACAGCUACUUUUAGUACUUCCAAUAUUGCUAUCUACUUGCAAAGUUGUUUGGGUGGUAAAUUAUUAAUUUUAUACCCCUUGCACCGCACAGGCCUUUUGGCUUGGCCUUCUCCCUCCAUGCACGCCAGCUGCGGUGGAAGCCUAGCUCCCACAGCUCUACGGUGAGGCAACACAGAGAGUGACGACAACUUCUGAAGCCAUGGCUUGCCUGUGAUUACCAGAGUGGCGAUUAGUGCGAUUUGGAUACCUGUUUUGUUUGCUCCUUCUGUUUUGAUUUGAGCUGAUGGGGAUGAGAUGUGACCCCGCUGCUGGGCAUCGCAAAUGCCACGGCUCCAAUGUAUGCCCCAGCUUCUGUGAUGCAUGGGCGAGGCUACUCGAUCUGGUGCAGUCGCCCUCCUUUCAAGAAAUCAAGUUCUUUCGUUCAGAUUUUAGAUCUCUUGAUUUUCAGCUUAGUUCUAGGAUAGAAAAGCAUGCUCCUUAUGGGUUCAACUAGGAAGACCAUUAGCCACUUUUUCAGAAUUGGAUGGUGUGGUGCACCUUCAUCUCGCUGUCCAACUUCUUUGCUUAUUUGCUUUAACCAUACUACAGUUGUAUAGCAGGAUAAGGAUCCAAUCUUGUGACGCCACUCCAUUUGUACCAUCGUCAAAAAUUGCACAUGAGUUGAUUAAGACUUUCAGAGUUCAGAGAACACCUAGCAGAGUUAAUCGUCCUGAAGGUAUAUCAGAUCCUAAGGAAAGAGGUCUUAGUUCAGAUUUGUCACUACUCUGUGCUGUUGGAUAGCCAUGGUAUGUGUUAGUUUUAUUUUACCACAGAAGUUUGAUUCUUGGUAGUUAGGAUAUCAGGCGUAUACAUUACUUUUCUUAUGAAUCUGUUCUCUUUUAGUGCACUAUCAAUGUAUCUAAUCUACCUAUCAAAGUUUUCAAAGAAAUUGAUGGCGGGGCUCAGCGGCGUCGUGGCGAAUGGCGAAGCUUCUAAAAUGGACGGGGGAGAGGUGGUAACACGCGGCUGGGAGACGUACAUAUUUGAGGAAAUACAGUUCAUAAUGUUUCAUAUUAACAAAAAUUGAUAGCCUUUGUAAAGUAAUACGAACAUUUUGGUGAUUCCGGGACAACCCCAAUAUGAAUCUGUAAGAAAAGAUAUGUCAUACAUUUGUGCAAAUUGAUAAUGUAAGCUCAUCUAGAAACUUUAUUCUUUUUUCAAGGUUGAUUUACUUGGUGGUGCUAACUUCCAUUUUCUCAAAACAGGACAUGCGUGCUAUUUCUGAAAAAAAGAAGCUUCUCUGUUGGCUGGCAUCCCUGAUGCUACACAGGAGUAUGUAGGAAAAGAAAUGGCGUCUCAUAAUUAAUUGGAUGUAGAUCAGUAGGGUCAAUUACAAAUUGUUGGCUGUAAAUGACUUUCAGUUUCUAGCUUUCAUAAAAUUUAGACAUGUAGUACUCUUCAACAGUAUGCUGUGGUUGAUGGGGGUCCUAUGUGUUUGUUCAAAUUA